UCAACAAGAAGGAAGGGAGACAGGAGAAGGGACAGGAUAAAUGAUAGUGUCCACUCUAUCAUUUAUCCUGUCCCUUCUCCUGUCUCCCUUCCUUCUUGUUUAGUUUUAUAGU